GACAGAGGGUGCGAACGUUGUUCGGAAUCACUGGGCGUAAAGCGCGUGUAGGCUGUCGCGAAAGUCGGGUGUGAAAGCCCUGGGCUCAACCUGGGAAGUGCACCCGAAACUGCGGGACUUGAGUGUCGGAGAGGGAGGCGGAAUUCUCGGUGUAGAGGUGAAAUUCGUAGAUAUCGAGAGGAACACCAGCGGCGAAGGCGGCCUCCUGGACGAUAACUGACGCUGAGACGCGAAAGCGUGGGGAGCAAACAGG
rnacentral:rRNA from 1 species